UCGCUCGCUUGCUAGAUUUCCAUUUUCUAACACGUUGCUGCUCAGAUGGAGAAUCAACUGGGGCGUCUCGAUCCUUGCUUGUACACUGGUAUGCACGAAACUCUUUGCUUUUGGCUCGAUGUUCUCACUGUCUGGAGUUGCAGGUCCGUGCUGUUGGAGCGAUUGGCUUUGUCUUUCUGUGCUCUUGGCUGGUCAAGGAAAACACCCUCAACUUGGUACAAAGAAAUUCAUUUGGCUGACCUUGACCAAAUGUUCCUCUUCUCUUGCAGAUCACCAUAAACACCCAUGCUUCGCUCUCGUACAUGGUGGCCGCAAUGGGGAUCAAUAUCUCGCUUACCUCGCUUACAAUGCCGACCAUCUAUGCUGUGUUCACGUCCUUGGUAAAGUUUCUCCCAGUUUUAGAUCGAAAGCUGACCUCUAGCUUAUCGUGAACUGCGCAUCGCUUUGUUUUCCUCCUCCAUGUUUUGUACGCGAUUAUUCUUCAGGGCCUGGGAAUCAAGUCGUCACUGGCGGUUCCUGGCUGGAUGUCGAGAUCCAUGUAAAAUCAAAGGAUGCUUACCCGGAAUUCAUCCUUUUGUACAGACACCAUUUCUGGCGUUGAUAUAAAAAUCGGGGAUGGUGAAAAUUCCAGCUUUAAGUUAGAGCACGUUCUCUCUGUUUAUCAAGAAAGAUGCCCAAGCCUCGCUCGAAGGAGUUACAGGCUGAACCCAGUGACCAGGAGUUCGGCUGGGGCGGACAAUGGCGCUACCAGUGCCCUGUCCGCAGCCUCCAUUGGAUCCGGUGGGAGAGACCCGCUAGAACCCUAAAACAUUGGUUCCUCGCAUUGCCUCGCGGUGCUUUCCUCGCCACGUCUUGGAUAAGGUAGAUAUUUUUAUGAAGAAUGUUAAAUGGAUCUACUUUUAUAAUUAUUCUAGCAUAUUCUGUAAGAGUUGAGUAGUUUUCCUUCUGAAGUAUGUUUAAGUUCGUAAGAUAUGAAGUUUAUGUUCGUUAACAAAUAGGGUUUAUAUUAUGGAAUCUCGUGGAUAAAAGCUGUUUUGAUUCCAACAACUGAAAGAAACACACAACAUCGCUAGACCUCGAUGUCGUAUACGUGGCGAGCCAGGAGCUUGGCCAUGGAAGAUGUUUCACACUCCUUGUUGUGCUCGAGGAACCGUUCCUUGAACUCCUCGUCGUCAGUGGGCACUGCAGCCAGCCCUGCUGCAAUCUCUUCCAGUGACAUCCCGCGCUUGUCCAGGAAGCCCCGCCGCAAUCUCGACAUCCUCGCCAUGUAGCAGCCGCGGCUCUCUGGCUCAAAAUUCAUUGGCGUCACGUAACGUACUGUGUACCUCGCCGGAUCGGCGAGCUUGCCCAAGUAUUUGCUCACUUCACCCUGCAUCUCGAGGACGUAGAAGGUGGAGGGAGGCUGGCCCUGCAGCUGCCGCUCGGCUCGAGCGGACCCCUCACGAAUCGCCUUGUCUAUAAACCCAUGCAUGAGCAACAAAGAACAUCGAGCGUGCUGAAGGCUCACUCACAUGAUCCGCUAUCCGGAAGGGGUUCGACAGGAAGCUCUGAAUAGCUGAGCCACAGGCGCGCGUCUAACACGGCAAUAUAGACGUUCUCCAAGUGUGUAAGGUAAGGGCACACAGUAAUAAGAGGAGCAAGCCUUCCGCCGCGGUCACUCAGAUCUAGCAGGAGCUGCUCCAGCUCCCCUGUUACAGUCCCUGUUGUUUCAUUGCUUUUUGUCUGUAUUUUGAUCUGGAAACUUACAUCGCUCGAGCGACAUCCGCGAUGUGUUGCCGCGGGGGAUUUCAUCAAGCAAGAAAUCCAGCUUUGAUCACCACCACCUCUCCGUAGCCUUUGGGUGUUGAUCUUUGUACCGUGCAUAUGGGUUCCUUUCCUCCAGGCCCUACAGCGGCAAAUUAAACUCUACAGCGAGAGAAAGACACAGUGUAGGAGUACCUUGGGGUACUCCUCCAGGUUGAAACUGGGUACGUAUUUCUCCAUGUACCACGCCUGGACUGUCUCGAACAGAGCUCCACCCUCCACCUCUCUCGGCUGAACACCUUUUAGGGUUGGCCAUAUAGGACGCCUCUUCAAGCGUAGGGCUGCGCCGCCGGGCUUGAGAGAAGCCGUGGAUGCGACGCUCGAGUUGCGGAGGGUCUCCUCCUUCAGGUACAGUUGCCUCCAGUCUAAUGUUUUAACGGUCCCCAGACAGAAAAAUAUCCAUCCGUACAUAAAACUGGAAUUGUUCCUUGCGUCGAAUUCGUUUCUCACUUGGAAUUCUCCUCCGAGGAAAUCUGAGAAGCCCACGGGUCUCCAAAGCGCCAUUGACGGCCUUCCGGUUGGCCUGAGAAGGAAGAAGCUAGCGUUUGAUCAGUUUUAAAGUUCUCUAGAGAUGUUACCAGGAUCUUCUCUCGAUCUUCGAGAGCGUCAUUUCUACUGACUCGAUGCGUCCAGUGCCGCCGCAGCACCCGCAAGAAUCAGUGACACUCAGCCGGUCCUGAAAGCUCCAUAUCAAGUCAACUAGAGAUACCCGUGCUCUCGUCAUUUCCAUGAGUCCGAACUCUGAAAUUUCCAAGAUAACAACUUUAGAUCGGUCCCGCUCAAUGGCCUUGCACUUUCAUGACCUGCAGAUAUACCACAAUAUCUCAGCUCGCUGACAAAGUUUGGAUUCUAGAAGCUUACUUGGAUCCUCCGUGUCAAACAACUAUAAUCCCACCAAUGCCCCGUAGCCUCUGUCGCAAUCUGCACAGAGAGUUUUUACCUGUCGAGGAGCAGCGAGAUUUACUUCUAAGAACACACAGAAAUAUAAGUUCCUUGAUUACGUCCAAAAGUCUUCACCUUUUGGUAUGUUUGAGACGAAUCCACGACAAACGUUUCAACCUGUAUAUACUCGUUCAAAGAACGAAGACAGCAUACUAUGAAAAACCUUAUUGUUGAAGAGAUCACCUGAGUGCCUGUCCCAUGGCCCUUUGCAAUAACACAGGGACCGGGUCUUUUCAACCACCACCCCCAGCAACCUCCGCUGUCUCCACACGUCUCCAUGAGGCGUGCCAAUUCCUUCUUGAGCUCUUCACGACUGCGGCCAACAGCCUCAGUCCUCACGGUAAGACCAAAUGCAGCUCUUUGGCAAGCUGCUUGAGCCGACUUCUUUCCAGCCUGUUGAUCUUGCGAGUAACUCCAAUGGUCGAAGCUUGAGGAAGCAAUACCUGCACUACAUUUCUUAACUUCAAUACUUCGAGACACUUACCCAGUAUCGUCCCGCCAAAGUCACAGUUGCUUGGAAAGAAUCUAAAAUUUCGGGCACUUGGUCAUGGCGUCAGUCCAGAAACUUGCCUGAUCAUCUUCCAAAAACCUUUUGAUCCGUGAAACUCUUGCAAAGCCGCCAGAAACGCGUCUUCUUCUCCUCUCGAGGAGAGUUCUAACUUCCGAGGGUGAAGUGUCGUGUGUCGGCACCCGGACAACGUAAGAGUUCGCACAUAGAAACUCUAGAACGAAUGAAUCAAGCUAGUGAAAAUCCCUAAAAAUCAUGGACGAACCUGUAAGCCAUUUGGAGCUUCAACGAUCCAUUAUCUGUUCCCACGAACCGGCACAGGACCUGUGAGAGUUCUCCAAACUCGCUGUAAACCUGCGCCAGUCCAUGGAAAAACGAUCCUAGAUGGAUUAGAAUGACGAGGAAACUCAGAGCAAAGUUGUUCUCUAUCGGGACAACAGUGGAGAUCACUAUAUCUUCAACUAACUAUUCUCAUUUAUCUGUUUUUUCCUGUGACUAUGAGCAAUCCUUUUUUUUUUUCUUUUUUUUCUGUUUUCCUUAUGUUGCUUGAUCAAUCUUUUAUUUGCUUUUGCAGGUGGUAGACGUGAACAUUGGAUUCGAGGACAUUUUCAACACGGGUAAAAGUUUGCUCUCCCGCUGAAAACUUAUGCGGGCUUUGGCACACCAAGUACUGGCAUUCAAUGGCACAAAUGUCGAGAACUUGAAGCAUUUGGCAAAUAUGGUGGAGAGCUGCAAAGAGGAGUUUGUAAAAUUUGAUGUCAACCACCAUAUGGAUUCCCGGUUCUGAUUUAUAUUUUAUACGUUAAGUAAUACGUUAUUUAGCACGUUAAGUAAUACAACAAAAUAAAAUAUUAAAUUAGUAAGGAUUUAAAAAUUGCAAGCAACACAACUAAUGAGAUACACUUGUCCAGACACUAAGAAUUCUUUUGGAUUUUGCUGAUGGAAACUCGUUUUAAUUUGUGAGUUAGGUAAAUGAAUCUCCUUAAAGGUAAAUGAAGCAACAAGGAAUUAUAAUUAUAUUUUUUUGGGGUAUAUGUUUUCUUUCCCCAUGUCACUCCAUCAUAUAUCAGUAUUUCCACUUUCGUGUGGGUUUGGCUGUGCUUGGGGUGAAUCAAGCACGACAAAUUGGACACCGCCUAUCAGAAAUUAUGAUAAUUUCAAUGCCUCCAUAUAGGAGCACAACAAUGGAAGGAUCUACCUUUUCUGCAGAAGACCUUGUUGAUGGGGUACUGUUUGAUCUUGCAUUCUACUUUUUUAGUGCACGUGACAUCACUCUACAAUGCUAUAUAGCAUUGGCACCUCCAACUACAGAGGUUUCUAACCACAUAAUCCACUUAACACUUGGAGAUACCAUGGACCGAAUUGCUGAUGAAAUUCUUUUGUUUCGUCCUGCCCUUGGCUUUGUGGUAAUUGUUACUGAUAUUGGGGUGUUUGGAGUCUCCUACAUGAUCCACAAUUAUGGAAGACCAAAGGCUGGCACUAAUGAAAUUCCAAGCAAGAUUAAUCUUGAAUCUUGCAACCCUUUCUCAGCCAUGCUUAUUAGUGGUACGAGGAUUAACCCCUUUUCAAGGCUUGGUCCUGGGGAUCAAAUUCAUUUAGGAGGGGAUUCACAAAUUGGAGUAAUUGUAUUGUUCAUGGAUUACAGUUGCAACUUCAUCAUCUACAUAUAUACUACUAGCAAGUCACUUUGGACCUCUGAAACUCAUGGAUUGGGGUUCGAUUGCUGGGUGCUCAUGCAAGAAGAUGGAAACCUGGUAGUUUAUGGAUCACUUGGAACAUCAUUUUGGUCAAGCUUUUCUUUUUGUGUGCCUUCUCCUGCAUGCAUUGCUCCAUCAUUUGUUGCUCUUGGACCCAAAUGCAGGGUUGGUGUGUAUAGAUAUGGUGCUCCGGCAGUUGAAGUCUGGUCACCAGGUGAUUUUUGCUAAAUUCACAUGAAAAGUGCUUUGAAUAAAUUCUAAAGAAUAAAAUGUGAACUGAACCAUUGGAAGUGCUUGAUGUCUUGCAAUUUUGCUAGUUUGGUAGAAUUUUCCUCUUCCAUGCGUGCGUUGUGGAUCGUCAUUCUCGCGAGCGUCACCACUGGGCUUCGACGCAUUCCUUGGCCGAUGAAUACUGUGCGAAGGGACACUACUUCUUUCACAGGGAGGAAGACUCGGCUUGCAAGGGAAAGAGGCUACUGGAGCCUUUUCGGUGCAGCAAUCUGUGGAUUUCAUCUCUUUCGAGGCAGGGAGAAGAAGGGUCGAGCGCGCCAUGCUUGCAUCCAGCGCGGGUUUGGCCUAUUUCCUUAGAAACUUAUUUCGAUUCGAGGUAAGCUUCUCUCUUCUCAAUUCUUACUCCACAGUCUUACUUUGGAUGCUUCUUUCUGCUUCCUAUUGUCAUCUUCGGGGCGUGGCCACUGGUCGCAAAACAAUGAAUGUUUUCAUCUUUGCUGUAUUCGAAAAACAUUUGUUCUCUAGGCGAUCACAGCCUUGCUUCUUCACGUCAUUGCUGGUCUCAAGGCUCUUUCUUACGUCGUAGGUGUUUCCUCACACAGAUUUAGAUAUCUCACAAACGUUUGGAAUUCUUCGUCUAGUUGAUGCACGGAUUUCUCGGCGUUGCCAUGGGGUGCUUUGUGGAGUUCGCUCGCUCGCUCGCUAGAUUUCCAUUCUCUAACACGCUGCUGCUCAGAUGGAGAAUCAACUGGGGCGUCUCGAUCCUUGCUUGUACACUGGUAUGCACGAAACUCGCUCGAUGUUCUCACUGUCUAGAGUUGCAGGUCCGUGCUGUUGGAGCGAUUGACUUUGUGUUUCUGUCCUCUUGGCUGAUCAAGGAAAACACCCUCAACUUGGUUCAA
rnacentral:lncRNA from 1 species